CGAAACAAAGAAGUACGGAGAAGAAACUUCCCAAUCCCACAUUGUCUGACAGGUUUUGAGCUAGAUUUUUCUAGACAAGCUUAUGGUUGGAAUGGACAUAUCCAGCCAUAUCCCAGUAUCAGCCUUAAACGAUCCAGGCAGCUGUUAAGCGUGGAGUGGGAUGAAACUGGAGUUGAAAUUUCCAUGGCUGAAGAAAACAGCAGUACUGUUAAACCUGCCGUGUUCACUGUUGCCAUCUGUGCACUGGAGAGAUGUGUGAAAUAAGCAUUAGACUCUUCUCUGAGCACUAGAGGAACUUUUAAAGCCCCAAAUCCUAAAUGAUAUUGGACCAACAGUCAUUCAUUUGAUCAGCGUCACUCAUCGUCAAUUACAGCGUGAAGUAUCAUGUUUUCAGUUCUUUACAGAAGUGAUUCUAAAUUGCUUUACCAUAUUGAUUUCCCACCAAACAUCACUACUGCACAGUCCGGUGAUGGCCCAGACGGUUUUCUGAUGUCUCUCAGAGGAAGCUUUUGGUGGGGGGAAAAAAAGAAGCUUAAUUUUUAUUUCCUGUCAAAAAGCACAAAACAGAGCCUCUGGGCUUUCCUUGAAA